rnacentral:misc_RNA from 1 species
GUAUUUCGAAUUAAGUAAAUUCGUGAUAACAAAUGUUCAGACAAGUUAACUAAAGACGUUGGUAAAUAUAGAGGGGUUCUACACUUUAAAAAAGCGAGAGACCCUCUAAACGUUGCACACAAGGUGGAUAUGGAUUGUUUAAAAAGUGCCAUAAAACACUUGUUGUGAAUGAUCCUUCCGCAGGUUCACCUACGGAAA